CUGUGCACAUGUUAACAUACAUUUGCAAGACAGAAAGCAUUCAGUGGACUUUGUGAAAAACACAGAGAUGUGACAGAGUUCUUUUAUUUGUAAUUGCCUCAUGAAAUCAGACAUUUAUUAGCCUUAAAAGGAAUGUAAUAACUGUGACCGAUCAACUGUGCUCCAAAAAUCUUUUAGGUGAAGGGAAAAAAAAAGGAAUUUCCAAACAGUUUCCGUUGCCAUGGUUCUUGCCCUGAAUGACAGCCUGAAGGCUUUAUGGCCUUUUGAGGGAUAGUCCUCUUCCCCCCUUCCCUUCCCUCAUCUCCUUGUCUCCUCUCCCUCCUCCCCUCUCGCACUCAGUGGCGCUCUUCCAUGCUCACUGUCUGCACUGUAAAGCACUCAGGGAUUUAUUGUCAGCUGGAGUUUCCUUGAUGGGGUGUAAUAAUACUGUGCCUUUCUCACCCGCUAAGGUGGUAGAAUCCCCUCCCUCUGCCGAUGAGAGGACCCCCGCGGGCUGCCCUGUGUGCGCCUGUGUUCUGUGGCAGACUUAUAAGCCUGGCAGCUCCACCCCAUGGCUGUCCAAACAAGGUUUCUCAACAGGCGCCCACAUCAAAAAGAGCAGUGUAUGGGGGCUGCAGGAAAGUGAAACGGCAGGAUGUUGCCUCUAGUUAUUUAUUUAUCCGGCUUUUCACAAACAGAAGAAAAGAGUUAAAAGCAUGUGAGCCCUUUUGGCGUGGCUGCUGAGGGAAGUGACUUGUGCGCCAGCGUCACUUGGGAGGUCUUGAGGGACAUGUCGAGUUUAGGCUGUCUUCCCGACUGGAGCGGCGUCACACCAGAGUCUGUGUUCACUUAUUUACCACACCAAUGCUUGUCAUGCCAAUGUUCCCAAAUUAUCAAGACAUAACAGGACGCCUGUCAUCAACUGUGAUCUCACAGUAAAAACAUCUGACUAUUGCUCUAUUGCUGUUUUGUUUUGGGUAAAUAGACAGUAAACAGCUGUCAGAAACAUAUUACAGCAUUCAUUUUAACAUUUUUUUUUCAUCAUGCACUGAAGUGAAUUAUACACAUUUGCUGUCCAUUUAAAGGCGAUAAUGUAAUCAACAUUUAAUCCACAGUAAAUUAAAAUUCUGCAUAUGAGUAAAAUAAAGCAUGUAAUUAAGUCAGUUAUUUACUAGGAUUAUCCUUUAGCACUGUUGCAUAUUAAGCAUCAUCAAGUUGUCAACAUUUUGUGUAAGCAUCAAGAUUCUUGUUUUACAAUGCAGAUAAUUAAAAUUUCAGUAUUUAGAGAAUAUUUUAGUGUGUAUAAUGUACAAUAUACUUGAUAUUAUAGUGUAAUUAUUUAAUGAAGACACACAUAGAUUAUGUGGCCUGCUGAUAAAUGUACAAAAGUUUAAUGGGGGAUAAAUAAAAAUCCUAUUCAGCUUCA